rnacentral:rRNA from 1 species
AUUGAACGCUGGCGGCAUGCCUUACACAUGCAAGUCGAACGGUAACGGGCCUUCGGGUGCCGACGAGUGGCGAACGGGUGAGUAAUACAUCGGAACGUGCCCGACCGUGGGGGAUAACGAGGCGAAAGCUUUGCUAAUACAGCAUACGAUCUACGGAUGAGAGCAGGGGACCGCAAGGCCUUGCGCGGACGGAGCGGCCGAUGGCUGAUUAGGUAGUUGGUGGGAUAAAAGCUUACCAAGCCGACGAUCUGUAGCUGGUCUGAGAGGAUGAUCAGCCACACUGGGACUGAGACACGGCCCAGACUCCUACGGGAGGCAGCAGUGGGGAAUUUUGGACAAUGGGCGCAAGCCUGAUCCAGCCAUGCCGCGUGCAGGAUGAAGGCCUUCGGGUUGUAAACUGCUUUUGUACGGAACGAAAAGCCUUCUUUUAAUACAGGAGGGUCAUGACGGUACCGUAAGAAUAAGCACCGGCUAACUACGUG